GAGGAAAGUCCGGGCUCCACGGAACAACGGUGCCGGGUAACGCCCGGCGGCUCCUGCCUCGGCCGGAGUUAGGGAAAGUGCCACAGAAGCAUACCGCCUGCCUUUGGGCGGGUAAGGGCGAAAGGGUGCGGCAAGAGCGCACCGCGCGGCCGGUAACGGUCGCGGCACGGUAAACCCCACCGGGUGCAAGACCGAAUAGGGGCGGCAUAUGGGCCUGUUCCGGCUCGUCGCCCGGGUUGGUCGCUUGAGGCGAAGGGCAACCUUCGUCCUAGAGGAAUGGUCGCCGAUCCCCUUUAAGGGGUGAACAGAACCCGGCUUA
rnacentral:RNase_P_RNA from 1 species